GACGAACGCUGGCGGCGUGCUUAACACAUGCAAGUCGAACGGAAAGACCCUGCUUUUGUGGGGUGCUCUAGUGGCGAACGGGUGAGUAACACGUGAGUAACCUGCCCUUGACUUUGGGAUAACUUCUGAAAAAUGGGUCUAAUACCGGAUAGUAGCUCCUGCUGCAUGGUGGGGGUUGGAAAUUUGCGGCGGUUUGGGUUGGACUCGGGGCUUAUAUGCUUGUUGGUGGGGUAGUGGCAUACCAAGGCUUUGACGGGUAGCCGGCAUGAGAGGGUGAACGGGCACCUUGGGACUGAGAUAGGGCGCAGAGUGCAACGGGAGGCAGUGGUCGGGAAUAUUGCACAAUGGGCGGAAGUGUGAUGCAGAGACGCCGCGUGUGUGAAGACGGCCUUUGGGUUGUAAACCGCUUUCGGCUGUGACGAAGGGUUAGUGACGGUAAUGGGUAAAGAAGCACCGGCUAACUACGUG
rnacentral:rRNA from 1 species